CUGAAGAGUUUGAUCAUGGCUCAGAUUGAACGCUGGCGGCAGGCUUAAGACAUGCAAGUCGAGCGGAAACGAUGGGAGCUUGCUCCCAGGCGUCGAGCGGCGGACGGGUGAGUAACGCGUAGGAAUCUGCCCAGUAGCGGGGGAUAGCUCGGGGAAACUCGAAUUAAUACCGCAUACGCCCCACGGGGGAAAGGCCGGGAUCUUCGGACCGGUCGCUACUGGAUGAGCCUGCGUUGGAUUAGCUUGUUGGUGGGGUAAAGGCCUACCAAGGCGACGAUCCAUAGCUGGUCUGAGAGGAUGAUCAGCCACACUGGGACUGAGACACGGCCCAGACUCCUACGG
rnacentral:rRNA from 1 species